rnacentral:SRP_RNA from 1 species
GCUGGGCAUGGUGGCGUGUGCCUGUAAUCCCAGCUACUCAGGAGGCUGAGGCAGGAGAAUCGCUUGAACUCAGGAGGCAGAGGUUGCAGUGAGCCAAGAUCGUGCCACUGCACUCCAGCCUGGGUGACAGAGCGAGACUCUGUCUCUA